GCCUGAGUAGCUCAUUUAACAGAGCAUCAGACUUCUAAUCCGAAGGUUGAGGGUUCAAGUCCCUGCUCAGGCG
rnacentral:tRNA from 1 species